rnacentral:rRNA from 1 species
UGGGGAAUAUUGCACAAUGGGCGCAAGCCUGAUGCAGCCAUGCCGCGUGUGUGAAGAAGGCCUUCGGGUUGUAAAGCACUUUCAGUCGGGAGGAAGGUGGUAAGGUUAAUAACCUUAUCAAUUGACGUUACCGACAGAAGAAGCACCGGCUAACUCCGUGCCAGCAGCCGCGGUAAUACGGAGGGUGCAAGCGUUAAUCGGAAUUACUGGGCGUAAAGCGCACGCAGGCGGUUGAUUGAGUCAGAUGUGAAAUCCCCGGGCUUAACCCGGGAAUUGCAUCUGAUACUGGUCAGCUAGAGUCUUGUAGAGGGGGGUAGAAUUCCAUGUGUAGCGGUGAAAUGCGUAGAGAUGUGGAGGAAUACCGGUGGCGAAGGCGGCCCCCUGGACAAAGACUGACGCUCAGGUGCGAAAGCGUGGGGAGCAAACAGG